AGCACUUGUCUAGCAUAAACAACCCUGGGUUCAUUCAAGCUCCAACAUGGAAACUGUCUGCAGACUGAGCGAACCAAGCAUUCUAUCAGAACCCUGAGGCCCUGGAUUCUAGGUCCAGCAGCAGCCAGAGGGACCAUGCAGGUCCUCCUCGCUGUGAUGGUCUGGAUGGCUUCUUCUGCGUCUGGUUUUUCAUAUACAGCAAGUACUUUGCCAAAAAUAACAAACGAGGACUUCAUCGAAGAAUGCGUUGAAGUUCACAACCACUUUCGGUCAAAAGCGUAUCCACCGGCCGGGAAUAUGUUGUACAUGUCUUGGGACCCAAAACUAGCCCAAAUUGCAAAAGCGUGGGCACAGUCUUGUGUAUUUCAACACAACCCACAGCUGCAUUCGCGAAUACACCCAAACUUUACUGGCCUGGGCGAAAACAUUUGGCUUGGCUCUCUAUCCCUCUUCUCAGUACGUGCGGCCAUCCUCGCCUGGUUUGAAGAAAGCCAGUACUAUGACUUCAGCACUGGGAAAUGUAAAAAAGUCUGUGGGCAUUACACUCAGCUAACCCACAACGAGAUCAGGUCUCACGUCACUCUGCUGAUUAUCCAAAAUAUCUACGUAACAGAUACACAUCGCUCUAUCUCAUCGCUAAGUCAGUUCUCCUAUUACUGUCUGUCAUAAUUACCAUUUGGGUAAAGCACAAAUAUCCUAACUUAGUUCUUUUGGACUAAUGCCCUGGUUAGGGGACAACUUAUUCAUAUGUGGUGAUUUUAAAAUGUUUCAAUAAAAUCUUAGAAGAGUUAA
rnacentral:lncRNA from 1 species